rnacentral:lncRNA from 7 species
CCGUCAGACCCUGCUCUUACUGCCUUCACUGAUCCAGCAGCAGUUGAAAGGAAAACAUCGAGCAUUACAGCGCUGAGGCUCAAAGCGAAGGAACAUUCAGCACAAAUCCCUCAAUUAAACCUCAUCUCAAACGCUAACAAAGAACUUUGUUAGGAGCUCUCCCACGGGCUACAGCCACAGAAGGGAAUGCUUUCUCCAACAAGCAGCGCCUGUUAGAGACGUUUAAAAAAGAAGGAUAACACAUGCACCCAGCUGCAGUCCCUCCACCUGUAAUGGACAAAAUGGAAUGGGCAACAAGGAAAUAACCUUGCUAAAAAUUGUUUUCCUUCAUCACAGUGUGAAAUCAUGAAGCAAGUUGACUUUUUUCAUCAUUUCUACCUACAAUUUCUGGCAGUACAGAAAAAAAACAGGAACUGUCUCAUCCUUAUAACUCAGGCUGAUGUGAAACUGAAGCUGUGAAAUCCCCAAAGUCACUGGAUGCUGGUUCAAGGAUUCAGAAUUCUUUGUAGGAAUAACUUCAGUCUUAGAAGUGAUUCUUAACUCAUUUCUCAGGAGGAACUCUUACAUACAGAACGUAAGAACUGGUACAUAGUAUGUUCUUCACUUGGAAACCAUGCUUCACGUUGAAGUACAGAUGCCAGUGAAAUCUCGCAUGUUAGGCUUAGCAGGAAGGAGCUGUCAAGUAUUUUCAAUAUAGUCUUUUGAUUCAGAACCAGCAUAGGUAUAAACAGAAGCCCUACUGACCAGACGCCUGUAGCUCAGCAAAAUCCCAAAUUCAUUUUCUGGCCUCAGACGAGUCCUUUCAGAGUUUUUCUGCUGAACUUCCCCAUCUGCGAAAUGGGACUGAGAACAGUAAUCCUAUCUCUUGGUCUGGUGCAUGUAAAGCGAGGAUAAGCAUCUUCCUCCUUCUGGAGCUUACUUGCCUACCUCACAGGGCUGUUGUGAGGACUGAUUAAACCAUCAUGACAGU